GACGAACGCUGGCGGCGUGCCUAAUACAUGCAAGUAGAACGCUGAAGGAGGAGCUUGCUCUUCUGGAUGAGUUGCGAACGGGUGAGUAACGCGUAGGUAACCUGCCUGGUAGCGGGGGAAAACUAUUGGAAACGAUAGCUAAUACCGCAUAACAGUAGAUGUUGCAUGACAUUAGCUUAAAAGGUGCAAUUGCACCACUACCAGAUGGACCUGCGUUGUAUUAGCUAGUUGGUGGGGUAACGGCCCACCAAGGCGAAGGUACAUAGCCGGCCUGAGAGGGAGGACGGCCCCCAUGGGACUGAGACACGGCCCAGACUCCUACGGGGGGCAGCAGUAGGGAAUCUUCGGCCAUGGACGGAAGUCUGACCCAGCAAAGCCGCGUGAGUGAAGAAGGUCUUCGGAUCGUAAAGCUCUGUUGUAAGGGAAGAACGAGUGUGAGCGUGGAAAGUUCACACUGUGACGGUAUCUUACCAGAAAGGGACGGCUAACUACGUG
rnacentral:rRNA from 1 species